AAAUUGAAGAGUUUGAUCAUGGCUCAGAUUGAACGCUGGCGGCAGGCCUAACACAUGCAAGUCGAGCGGUAGCACAGAGAGCUUGCUCUCGGGUGACGAGCGGCGGACGGGUGAGUAAUGUCUGGGAAACUGCCUGAUGGAGGGGGAUAACUACUGGAAACGGUAGCUAAUACCGCAUAACGUCGCAAGACCAAAGUGGGGGACCUUCGGGCCUCAUGCCAUCAGAUGUGCCCAGAUGGGAUUAGCUAGUAGGUGGGGUAAUGGCUCACCUAGGCGACGAUCCCUAGCUGGUCUGAGAGGAUGACCAGCCACACUGGAACUGAGACACGGUCCAGACUCCUACGGGAGGCAGCAGUGGGGAAUAUUGCACAAUGGGCGCAAGCCUGAUGCAGCCAUGCCGCGUGUGUGAAGAAGGCCUUCGGGUUGUAAAGCACUUUCAGCGGGGAGGAAGGCGAUAAGGUUAAUAACCUUGUCGAUUGACGUUACCCGCAGAAGAAGCACCGGCUAACUCCGUGCCAGCAGCCGCGGUAAUACGGAGGGUGCAAGCGUUAAUCGGAAUUACUGGGCGUAAAGCGCACGCAGGCGGUCUGUCAAGUCGGAUGUGAAAUCCCCGGGCUCAACCUGGGAACUGCAUUCGAAACUGGCAGGCUAGAGUCUUGUAGAGGGGGUAGAAUUCCAGGUGUAGCGGUGAAAUGCGUAGAGAUCUGGAGGAAUACCGGUGGCGAAGGCGGCCCCCUGGACAAAGACUGACGCUCAGGUGCGAAAGCGUGGGGAGCAAACAGGAUUAGAUACCCUGGUAGUCCACGCCGUAAACGAUGUCGAUUUGGAGGUUGUGCCCUUGAGGCGUGGCUUCCGGAGCUAACGCGUUAAAUCGACCGCCUGGGGAGUACGGCCGCAAGGUUAAAACUCAAAUGAAUUGACGGGGGCCCGCACAAGCGGUGGAGCAUGUGGUUUAAUUCGAUGCAACGCGAAGAACCUUACCUGGUCUUGACAUCCACAGAACUUAGCAGAGAUGCUUUGGUGCCUUCGGGAACUGUGAGACAGGUGCUGCAUGGCUGUCGUCAGCUCGUGUUGUGAAAUGUUGGGUUAAGUCCCGCAACGAGCGCAACCCUUAUCCUUUGUUGCCAGCGGUCCGGCCGGGAACUCAAAGGAGACUGCCAGUGAUAAACUGGAGGAAGGUGGGGAUGACGUCAAGUCAUCAUGGCCCUUACGACCAGGGCUACACACGUGCUACAAUGGCAUAUACAAAGAGAAGCGACCUCGCGAGAGCAAGCGGACCUCAUAAAGUAUGUCGUAGUCCGGAUUGGAGUCUGCAACUCGACUCCAUGAAGUCGGAAUCGCUAGUAAUCGUAGAUCAGAAUGCUACGGUGAAUACGUUCCCGGGCCUUGUACACACCGCCCGUCACACCAUGGGAGUGGGUUGCAAAAGAAGUAGGUAGCUUAACCUUCGGGAGGGCGCUUACCACUUUGUGAUUCAUGACUGGGGUGAAGUCGUAACAAGGUAACCGUAGGGGAACCUGCGGUUGGAUCACCUCCUUA
rnacentral:rRNA from 1 species